UAAGGAAUAUUGGACAAUGGAGGCAACUCUGAUCCAGCCAUCCCGCGUGUAGGAAGAAGGCCCUAUGGGUCGUAAACUACUUUUGUCAGGGAAUAAACCUCUCGAUUUACUCGGGAGCUGAAGGUACCUGAAGAAUAAGCACCGGCUAACUCCGUGCCAGCAGCCGCGGUAAUACGGAGGGUGCAAGCGUUAUCCGGAAUCACUGGGUUUAAAGGGUGCGUAGGUGGUAUCGUAAGUCAGAAGUGAAAGU
rnacentral:rRNA from 1 species